AACGAACGCUGGUGGCGUGGAUAAGACAUGCAAGUCGAACGGGACAAGUAGCAAUAUUUGUCUAGUGGCGAACGGGUGCGUAACACGUGGGCAACAUGCCUGGAAGAGCGGGAUAGCCCGGGGAAACUCGGAUUAAUACCGCAUGUGACAACGGGGCGGAUUCGCCCUGUUUUCAAAGGUGGGGACCGCAAGGCCUGCCGCUUCCAGAUUGGCCCGCGUCCUAUCAGCUAGUUGGCGGGGUAACGGCCCACCAAGGCGACGACGGGUAGCUGGUCUGAGAGGACGACCAGCCACACUGGAACUGAGACACGGUCCAGACACCUACGGGUGGCAGCAGUCGAGAAUCUUUCACAAUGGGAGAAACCCUGAUGGAGCGACGCCGCGUGGAGGAUGACGGUCUUCGGAUUGUAAACUCCUGUCAUGAAAGAACAAGCGGAGCGGGUGAACAGCCCGCCGAGUUGAUAGUAUUUCAAGAGGAAGGGACGGCUAACUUCGUGCCAGCCGCCGCAGUAAAAC
rnacentral:rRNA from 1 species